rnacentral:lncRNA from 1 species
CCACAAAAUGCGGCAACAAGUCAAAAAUCUUUGAUCGGGAGAGUGCAGAUUUUUCCAGUUUGCGGCACCCGGUGACAUUCAAGAUCUUCACACUAUCCAUUCUAACCAAACAUUCUGGAAGCCUCACUAGAUGCGGACAGCAAGAGAGGUCCAGUGUAUGCAGAUUCUUGAGGUUGCCAAUACUCUCAGGAACACUUACUAUGCUAUCAUUAUUAGACAAGUCCAGAUGCCGCAGAUUAGAAAGGGUACAUAUACGGUCAAUGAAACUGAAUAGCUCAUCUGAGCUCGGAUUCCAGAAGAUAGAUCGUGUGGUAUGUGAUAGACCUAAAUAACGGAGUCCAAUUAGAUUACCAAUGACCUCUGGCAGCCCCUCAAGAAAUUGACCCAAUACAUAACCUAUUUGCAUUGAUAAAUUCAAGUAUUGGAUGUUGGUGAGGCCACCCAAAGCUUUCGAUACACCUCUAAGCUGAUUGUUGUUUGAUAAAUCCAGAUAUUCCAACUUUUUGAGAUUCACAAAUGAUUUUGGGAGGUUAUCUAUAAAGUGACAAUUCGAGAUAUCAAGAUGCAUCAGACAUCUCAAGUCACCAAUUGACUCAGGCAAUGCUAACAUCCUGGACCAACUCAGGUUGAGGUAAAUUAGUUUCGAGAGCUUGGUGAUACAAUACGGGAUCGUUUGACUUUCAAUCUUGGGGGCAUUGAGAUACCUCAAUUUCACCAAUUCACUUAUGCAAGCUGGCAACUUGUAUAUGCGGCACUCGCUUAAGUCCAAGACUUGUAGGGAUGUUGCAGAUGAAAAUGCAUAGCCGUCUAGCUUAAUUUGGCUACAGUCAAGAUAAGUAGGAGAUUGCAGAUAGCAUGGCGGGACAUAUACCUUUACUUUAAUGUGAGCCAGCAUCUUCUUGUUCUUCUCUAAAUUACACCACUCUGCCAAUUCAGGGCAGUGGUAAAUAGCUAGUCCUUUAAGCUUGGUAAGCUUUUGUAUGCUCUGUGGCAAAGAGUUGAUACCCCUACAAUAUCGGAUCUGAAGUUUCUUGAGAGCAGUAAGGUCACCCAACCAUUCUGGCAGCACUUUUAUUCUUGGACAGUCUAUCAAAGAUAGCUCCUGGAGGGAUGUCAGAUGUCGCACGCUCCCUUGCAAAACAGACAGCUCUUUACACCCUGUGAUGUCCAUUUUCCGGAUAGAGGUGAGGCCACCCAACCAUUUCGGAAGUUCUGGCUGCGUAUUAUCUUCUAGCCACGAUGAUUUGAUAAAUGAGAGGUCUCCAAUUAUGUCUAAUGAGUUGCAUGACAGAUCGGUACAACUUAUUAUCCUUAACUCAGUGAAGGCAGGGAGGUGGUGAAGCAACAUCCACUGAUCCAAAGGCACCUUGCUUAAUUUCACUGUCACAGUCACGUUUGUUAGUGAAACAGAGGACACACUCGAUGCUCCCCUCUCUCCCCAUGAUGAUAAUACAUUAUCGCUGCUCUCUAUUUCCCAUCUCUUAGCUCCAGGUGGGCAUGGUUUCAGUCUUAAAUCUGGGCAAUCACGUAUUAACAGUUCAACAAGGUUUGGGAACAUGAAUUUCAUCACACUACCCAUGUCAUAGGAGUACAUUGUCUUCCACAACUUGAGGUUUCGCAUACGGCAUAAGCAAAAUUUCCUCAAUUCAGGGAAGGCUCUUGCACCGCCACAGAAAUCCCCAUCAAUUAUCGUAAUGCUAUCCAUUACACCUAUAACUAGCUCUUGCAAAUUUGUUAAUUGACCAAGUGGUGGUAAGCUGUUGCAUUUGCGUAUAUCCCACAAUUCAAUCUUGCUAAGACUUGGGAGAUAAAGCGUAAUGUCCAUAACCCAGGCAGGAAACCUCACACUACUGUAACCUGUCAUAUUAAAUUCCCUCAAACUACUUGGUGGCACAAGCUUUCCCAGUACUUCCACAUCCUCCACAGAACCCCCAGCAUCUCUAGUCAACUGUAGUUUCAAAUCGUUAAUAACUUGUCUUUUCAUCAGCUUAGUUAUGUACAAAUCAUUAGAAUUUGUGUACCACCGUAUCAUGAUGUUGAACAGGAAUUGGCUUAGUAUAUUGGAGCUGCAUGUCGGAUCAGUGCAACAUGUGAUGUGUAAAGUACUCAGGGAAGGGAGAUCGUGAAACAACUUCCACUGAUCCAAAGGCGCUAUGUCAGAUCUGACUGUUACACUCACAUCCAUAGGUGCAGCAGAGGAGGUAGCACGAGUUUCUCCCCAUAAUGAUAAUACAUUAUUGCUAUUCUGUAUCUCCCAUUUGUUUGCUCUAGGAAGGCAUGGUUCCAUUCUCAACUUUGGGCAAUCAUUUAUUGACAACUUCUUAAGGUUAGGGAACAUGAAUUCUUUCUCAACAUCCUUGCCAUUGGAGUACAUCGUCUUCCAUGCUUCCAGAUUUUCCAUGUGGUAUAGACAAAAUCUCUUAAGCUGAGGGAAGGCUCUUGCGCCACCACAAAAAUCCUCUUCGAUGGUCGUAAUACUGUCCAUUUCUCCAAUAAUUAGCUCUCUAAGGUUUUGUAAUUGACCUAAUGCAGGCAAGCUGUUGCAUUUACAUAUAUCCCACAGUUCAAUCUUUCUAAGUUUUGGUAGAUAAAGCUUUAUGUUGAUAAGCCAGGGCGGAAAGCUCACACUAUUGUAACCUGUCAUAUUAAAUUCUCUCAAGGUGCUUGGUGGCACAAGACUUGCCAACACUUCCACAUCCUCAAGAGACCUGCAAGCAUCACUGGUCCAUUGAAGUUUCAAAUCAUUAAUCCCCAGUUUUUCUAUCAGCUUUAUACUCUGGACCUCUUCGGCAGACUUUACAUUAUCAAGGCAAGUUAUGUGCAACUCAUUAGGAUUUGCAUACUGUAGAAGACCGAUGUUGCUGCUAGAUUGACCUUCGUCAGCUUGGACCACAAAAUGCGGCAACAAGUCAAAAAUCUUUGAUCGGGAGAGUGCAGAUUUUUCCAGUUUGCGGCACCCGGUGACAUUCAAGAUCUUCACACUAUCCAUUCUAACCAAACAUUCUGGAAGCCUCACUAGAUGCGGACAGCAAGAGAGGUCCAGUGUAUGCAGAUUCCAGAGGUUGCCAAUACUCUCAGGAAUACUGACUAUGCUAUCAUUAUUAGACAAGUCCAGAUGGUGCAGAUUAGAAAGGGUACAUAUACGGUCAAUGAAACUGAAUAGUUCAUCUGAGCUCGGAUUCCAG